GUGAGGAAUAUUGGUCAAUGGGCGGAAGCCUGAACCAGCCAUCCCGCGUGCAGGAAGACGGCCCUAUGGGUUGUAAACUGCUUUUCCAGGGGGCGAAACUUUCCGAUGUAUCGGGAUUUGACGGUACCCUGGGAAUAAGCAUCGGCUAACUCCGUGCCAGCAGCCGCGGUAAUACGGAGGAUGCGAGCGUUAUCCGGAUUUAUUGGGUUUAAAGGGUGCGUAGGCGGAUCGAUAAGUCAGUGGUGAAACCCUGCAGCUUAACUGUAGACUUGCCGUUGAUACUGUUGGUCUUGAGUGUGGUCAAGGUAGGCGGAAUGUGUAAUGUAGCGGUGAAAUGCUUAGAUAUUACACAGAACACCGAUUGCGAAGGCAGCUUACUGGGCCAUUACUGACGCUGAUGCACGAAAGCGUGGGGAUCGAACAGGAUUAGAAACCCUUGUAGUCC
rnacentral:rRNA from 1 species